CCUCACCGUGGCCUCCUCCGUCGCGGCCUCGAUCGAAACCGAAAAAGAUCGCCCAGUACCAACGAAGUGGAAGGACAAAGCCGUCGUCAGUGUCGUGUUUUGCGGCUCGUCGUCGUUCACGGAUUCGAGGUCUUAUGCUUCGAUUUGAUUUCUUGCAUUAGGAAGUGAAGAUUGUUAUGCAAGUGUCUGAACUUUUCAAGUGGAUUGGUCUUAUGCUUCGAUUUGGUUUGUUACAUGAGGAAGCGAAGAACCGUGAUUGCCGCAUGUGUCUGAACAUUUCAAGUGGAUUGGUAAAUAUGGAGCUGUAUUGGCAUCUCCACCAGCAAACAAUGGGAGAGACUACGCGAGCUACCAAAUGCACGCCAACAUACAGCUGAAAACACUUUCGAUUCUUCCUGGGGCGCUAGUGCUUGCCUGACAAUCAGAAGAUGCAGAGUUGCAGACAGAUUGUGUCACACAUUCUUAAUCUGCAUAAAGUUCUGCUUCAAGUACAUAGUCAGGCAUCAGUGCAAGAGCUACUCAGCUGGUUUGAAGCAAACGGAUGCCUACAUUAGAGGAGGGACUUGGUCACCCUUGAACUCGAGCUCCUUCAAUCUGGGAAGUUUGUCGAUGCCGGAGAGAGAUGUGGAAGAUGACCAGACAAUCUUCUCAAGCCUAGAAGCAGACCCGCUGUUGAAGACAAUCUUGGUGAUGGCCGAGCA